rnacentral:rRNA from 1 species
UUACUCGGAAUCACUGGGCGUAAAGGGCGCGUAGGCGGAUUAUCAAGUCUCUUGUGAAAUCUAAUGGCUUAACCAUUAAACUGCUUGGGAAACUGAUAGUCUAGAGUGAGGGAGAGGCAGAUGGAAUUGGUGGUGUAGGGGUAAAAUCCGUAGAUAUCACCAAGAAUACCCAUUGCGAAGGCGAUCUGCUGGAACUCAACUGACGCUAAGGCGCGAAAGCGUGGGGAGCAAACAGGAUUAGAUACCCUGGUAGUCCACGCCCUAAACGAUGUACACUAGUUGUUGGGGUGCUAGUCAUCUCAGUAAUGCAGCUAACGCAUUAAGUGUACCGCCUGGGGAGUACGGUCGCAAGAUUAAAACUCAAAGGAAUAGACGGGGACCCGCACAAGCGGUGGAGCAUGUGGUUUAAUUCGAAGAUACGCGAAGAACCUUACCUGGGCUUGAUAUCCUAAGAACCUUUUAGAGAUAAGAGGGUGCUAGCUUGCUAGAACUUAGAGACAGGUGCUGCACGGCUGUCGUCAGCUCGUGUCGUGAGAUGUUGGGUUAAGUCCCGCAACGAGCGCAACCCACGUAUUUAGUUGCUAACGGUUCGGCCGAGCACUCUAAAUAGACUGCCUUCGUAAGGAGGAGGAAGGUGUGGACGACGUCAAGUCAUCAUGGCCCUUAUGCCCAGGGCGACACACGUGCUACAAUGGCAUAUACAAUGAGACGCAAUACCGCGAGGUGGAGCAAAUCUAUAAAAUAUGUCCCAGUUCGGAUUGUUCUCUGCAACUCGAGAGCAUGAAGCCGGAAUCGCUAGUAAUCGUAGAUCAGCCAUGCUACGGUGAAUACGUUCCCGGGUCUUGUACUCACCGCCCGUCACACCAUGGGAGUUGAUUUCACUCGAAGCCGGAAUACUAAACUAGUUACCGUCCACAGUGGAAUCAGCGACUGGGGUGAAGUCGUAACAAGGUAACCGUAGGAGAACCUGCGGUUGGAUCACCUCCUUUCUA